GACGAACGCUGGCGGCGUGCUUAACACAUGCAAGUCGAACGAAGAGCGAUGGACCCUUGCUUCUCUCAAUCUGCGUGGCGAACGGGUGAGUAACGCGUAAUCAACAUGCCUUAGAGAGGGGGACAACAGGUGGAAACGACUGCUAAUGCCGCAUACGAUCGGACCGCGGCAUCGAGGAGAGAUUAAAGGUGUCCCCUAUAUUUAAGCUAUCACUCAAGGCGGGGAUUGCGUCUGAUUAGCUAGCUGGAGUGGUAAUGACCUACCACUGCGAAGCUCAGUAGCCGGUCUGAGAAGAUAAACGGCCACCAUGGGACUGGAACGCGGCCCAGGCUCCUUCAGGAGGCAGCAGUGGGGGAUCCUACGCAAUGGACGAAAGUCUGACGGGGAAACGCCGCGUGGAUGAUGACGGCCUUCGGGUUGUAAAGCUCUGUUAAUCAGGAAGAAAGGAAUUCUUGAGAAUAGUUAGAAGGAUUGACGGUACCGGAAUAGAAAGCCACGGCUAACUACGUG
rnacentral:rRNA from 1 species